CCUUCCGUCUACUUCCGUAUGUCAGCUUCCACUACCGUAUAAACAAUACGUUUUGUUCUAAUAUUACGAAAUAGAAUAUACAAAAUGAACUUUUUCGAAAUCAAUUAUGAUAUAAACAUGAUAAAACAACACUUUUGCAAGCAUGGAUGAAGUUAACUGACGACAUUUUGUCUCUAAAUUGACACUUACCGACGUCUAGUGACUAAGUCUAAGAAAGGAACUUCACGAAGAUCGGAAGAUCUCAUGCGUUGUAAUGGCUGAUUAUGGGGAAAACGUUUUACCAAAACAUGCUAUAUACAAGGGUCCUUCUUCAGCAGCUGCUGUUUACAUAGGACUGUUGGUGGUAUCGAAGUUGUUUAGAGCAGUAGGGCUUUUCCUAGCCUAUGAUGUACUGAAACUUGUGCCAGUUGUACUGUUUAUGUUUGUGGUCAAAGCUGGUGCUUCUGUACCACUGGUGUUGCUUCAAAAACCUUUCACAUCUGGGAAAAAACUAUCAAAGAAUCAGUGGUUCCGAGUGAGUCGCCAUGCCUUUGUUGGCUGUCUGCUGGGUGUGCUGUGGAUGUUUGGCCUGUCCCUGUGCGGUCCCCUGCGCACCAUUCUUCUGUACGAGCACAGCGAUGUCAUAGUCAUAGCCUGGGCAGGUGCUCUUUUCUCAGGCAAUUCUGGAAGUCCAGCAAAGAUGCGUGGUGCGGUUGUAUUCCUCAUUGCCGUGGUAACCCUGCUGCUGUUUGACCAUGAUGAGAAGCUGGAGCAGCGCUCUGAACAGGACUCUGACCACCUUCAUCGCAAUGUCUUAACACAUAUCUUCUACCAUAUUAUAAACCUUGUUGGAUGGUCUGAUCAUAAGGGUGGAGUGGUUUUACUGUUCCUCACACUGUGCCUCCAGGUGGGCUAUAACUCCGCCUCCAAGAAGCUCUCAGUGGAUGUGGGAGGGGCCAAGCGGCUCCACGCCCUCUCCACUCUCAUCCAGGCCAUGAUCCUGGGACCAUGGGCCAUCAUCUUCUCAUCUGGCUCAGAGAUACAGGUGUCUUGGCUGUACCUGUUGUUCCCCCUUGCCCUGUUCACCCUGUUUGUCCUUAUCAUUGACUACUACAUCGAGGCUGUUGCCGCCAACCACAUCCAACCUACUAAGACUGCCGAGCUGGGGGCGUACGCCAUGUUUGGCAGUGCCCUUUUCCUGGCCCUCACUUGGAAUCACCCUUACACUGCACGUAUAACCACCAUGCACAAACUACAAGGGAUUAUUACGGAGGACCAUGUGUUGUCAUGGGGAGUCAUAUUCAGUUUGGCUUCUUUCAUGCUUGCCACCAAAAUACUGACCAACCCCGGUGGUAAGACAAACAGGGCUAGUUUUAUUGGCUUCUCGAUGGAAGGUCAGCCAGUGUACAGCUUUACAGAGGAGGCUCUUAAGAGGACCUCCCAGUCCAUACUAAUACACCUGAAGAACGCCCUGCGUCAAGUCCUUGAAGAUUCUGACUCCAGGAAGAUUUUCUACUUCUUGUGCAUCAACUUGGCGUUCACAUUUGUUGAGAUGAUCUACGGUGUGUUGACAAACAGUCUUGGCCUGAUAUCUGACGGUUUCCACAUGUUGUUUGACUGCUCAGCGCUCGUGAUGGGCCUUUAUGCCUCCGUGAUGUCACGGUGGAAAGCUACGAGAGUUUUCUCUUACGGGUUUGACCGAGUGGAGGUGCUGUCAGGGUUUAUAAAUGGCCUGUUUCUGAUGGUGAUAGCCAUCUUUGUGUUCUCAGAGUCGCUCCACAGACUGACAGAGCCUCCAGAAAUCGACACAAACAGAUUGCUGGCAGUGUCUGUUGGUGGACUGUUGGUGAAUAUGGUGGGCAUAUUUGCAUUUAAAGGCAGCCAUGGGCACAGCCAUGGUGGAGGACAUAGUCACAGUGGAGGGGGGCACAGCCAUAGUGGACAUGGACACAAUACCAACAUGGAAGGUGUGUUCCUCCACGUGCUGGCAGACACACUCAGUAGUGUUGGGGUCAUCAUUUCAUCUCUGCUCAUUGAACACUUUGGCUGGAACAUUGCAGACCCCAUCUGCUCUUUGUUCAUAGCAACUAUGAUAUUCCUGAGCAUUAUUCCCCUUCUGAAAGAGACGUCUGCAAUAUUGCUUCUUAGAACACCCGGUGAUAUAGAAUCUUGUGUGAAUAGUGCUAUUCAGAAGAUACUGAAUCUCGAAGGGGUGACGUCCUACAGGGACCACCAUGUCUGGUAUCAUACCUCCAGCAAGGUGUUGGCUACUCUACAUCUCCACGUAGCUCAUGAUGCAUCCGAACAAAAAAUUAUCUCGCAGGUUGGGAGUAUUAUGAAGGAUGCAGGCAUCCACUCAGUGACAGUUCAAGUGGAAAAAGAAGAAUACUUGCAGCAUUUAUCUGGACUGGGAUCUACCUUUGACCCAAAUGUCUUUCAGCAUUCACAUUUCGAGUUACCUCAUGUGAUCAAAGCAGUGUGAUGUACUUUCGCUAAGUAGAAGCUGGCAUGCAUGUGCCAUCAUUUUAUAUCGUAUUCCAAAGACAUUUUUGGUGUUGAACAGGUUUUUAUUAACCAGGUUUUUCCGAAGGAAAAAACUGGUUAUAAGAUUGGCGAAUGCGGGCGGGCUGGCUGGCUGGCGGGCUGGUUGGCGGGUGGGCGGAACAAGCUUGUCCGGGCCAUAACUAUGUCGUUUUUGAAAUCAUUGGGCACAUUUGUUCACCAUCAUUGGACGGUGUGUCGCGCGAAAUAAUUACGUCGAUAUCUCCAAGGUCAAGGUCACACUUUGAGUUCAAAGGUCAAAAAUGGCCAUAAAUGAGCUUGUCCUGGCCAUAACUAUGUCAUUCAUUGUGAGAUUUUAAAAUCAUUUGGCACAUUUGUUCACCAUCAUGGGACGGUGUGUCGCACGAAAGAAUCACGUCAAUAUCUCCAAUGUCAAGGUCGCCACGACUAAAAAUAGAUUUUUUUAAAAAACAAACUUACAAAGGGGGUUAAUUUUGUUUGUUCAUUUCAAAAGUUCAGUUUGAGUUUUCUCCCUUUAUCAGAUUUUUUUUCACAAUGAAAACCUGGUUUGUGACAAUUUCGUCCCUUUUUAAUCAUGUAGCAAAUCUGUAACUGAAUGAAAAAUAUGCUGUCAGUAGUUCAUUUAAGUCCCUAAAUGACAAGAACUUUUCAUCUGUCAGUCAUAGCUAAGGUUUAAUUUCGAAAGUAUCAUUUAACAGCUCUUAGGUCUACCAGUUUGUGUUCUCAUCUGACCAAUUAAAUUGGGAUAAUUCAAGACUUUAGUGGGAUUAUUUUCAUAAAAACUACAGAUAAAACAUUGCUAACUUGCUUUAUCUGUAUUAUAUGAUAUAUUGUGCAAACAAGCUGUGUACAAAAGAAGUAACAAAAUACCACUAGAAGGUGGCUUGCUUUAAUUUAGGUUAGCAAAAUUGAGUUGAAGGAAUGUGUGACUGGCCAUUUUGUUUUUACGAAAACAUAUAAUGCUUGUAUAUAGAUUACCAUAUAAUACACAUGAAAACGCUAAAUUCCAACUAUUCUUUCUCAAAGACCUUGUAUACAAUUUUAAGUUUGUUUGUUUUUGUAAAAAAUAUCAUGAUAAACAAUAUAUUGUAUUGAGUAUGUAAAAGUAUUGUGCACAAGAAAAUAUUACAAAAAGAUCCUGCCAUAUGAUGUGGUUGUUGCAAUGUACUAUUUGUAUGUACAUGUAUAAUUUAUUUAUCAUGAAACUUACUUGUUUACAAAGCUUAUAAUACAUAUCUAUGAUAUCAGUAUAUAUAAGUGUUUUUCUGCUCAUUUUAAGCACAACUAUUCAACAAAUAAUUCAAGUUCAAGUACUCAACCAAAUGUCUAAUCGGUGCCUAUGUAAUGCUUUGGUUAUGUUAAAGGUGCAAAAUAUCCAUAUCACUGUUUCUACUACAGGUAGGUCCAUGUGUGAGGAAAAUGACCAAGUUCCAUAACUCUUUCUGUCAAUUUACCACUAUUAUGCCUAUGUGUGUACUUACUGUUCCGGUCCCGAAGGGUUGAAAAAUAAGGCCACCAGUGGGUCGAGCAUUUUUUUUAUAUGGCUGUUGUACAACCUUGAUAAACAUUUACAAGUAAAACUUGUACUCCGAUCUCCAUGAAACUUGACAGAAACUAUUAAUGAUAUCUUGGUAGAGUUCGAAAACGAUUCUGAUCAGCAGAAUAACAUGUCAGGCAGGAGCGGGGCUUUUUAUGCUCCCCCAAAAUUUUUUAAGGGGAGCAUAUAGUUGCCGCUUCGUCUGUCCGUCCGUGUACAAUUUUUGUCCGGGCUAUUUCUCAGCCAUUAAUGACCGUAUUUCAAUUAAACUUUAUGGGAAGCUUCACUACCAAGAUGAGAUGUGCAUAUUAUCAGCCAGUCUGGUCGGAUGAUUUUUAUGCCCCCCCUUCGAAGUAGAGGGGUUAUAUUGUUUUGCACAUGUUGGUCGUCCGUCGGUCUGUCCGUCCACCAGAUGGUUUCCGGAUGAUAACUCAAGAACGCUUAGGCCUAGGAUCAUGAAACUUCAUAGGUUCAUUGAUCAUGACUCACAGAUGACCCCUAUUGAUUUUGAGGUCACUAGGUCAAAGGUCAAGGUGACCGGAAAUAGUAAAAUAGUUUCCAGAUGAUAACUCAAGAACGUUUAUGCCUAGGAUCAUGAAACUUCAUAGGUACAUUGAUCAUGACUCGCAGAUGACCGCUAUUGAUUUUCAGGUCACUAGGUCAAAGGUCAAGGUGACCCAAAAUAGUAAAAUGGUUUCCGGAUGAUAACUCAAGAACGCUUAUGCCUAGGAUCAUGAAACUUCAUAGGUACAUUGAUCAUGACUCGCAAGUGACCCCUAUUGAUUUUCAGGUCACUAGGUCAAAGGUCAAGGUCACGGUGACCCGAAAUAGUAAAAUGGUUUCUGGAUGAUAACUCAAGAACGCUUAUGCCUAGGAUCAUGAAACUUCAUAGGUACAUUGAUCAUGACUCGCAGAUGACCCCUAUUGAUUUUUAGGUCAAAGGUCAAGGUGACUCAACUUAACAAAAUGGUUUCCGGAUGAUAACUCAAGAACGCUUACGCCUAGGAUCAUGAAACUUCAUAGGAGCAUUGAGCAGGACUCGUAGAUGACCCCUAUUGACUUUCAGGUCACUAGGUGUAUUCACACAAUGGCUGCCACUACAACUGACAGCCCAUAAGGGGGGGGGGGGCAUGCAUGUUUUACAAACAGCCCUUGUUAACAGAGUUAUGGCCCUUUGAAAUUUUCCAUUAACUGUACAUAUAGUGCAAUUCUUGUCUGGGCUAUUUCUCAGCAACUAAUGACCGGAAUUUAAUGAAACUUUAUGGGAAGCUUCACUACCAAGAGAUGUGCAUGUUAUCAGCCGGUUCUAGUCGGAUUAUUUUUCACAGAGUUAUGGCCCUUUGAAAUUUUCAAAUAAAAAUUUAUUGUCCCCCCAACUACUGUGCCCUCAAGACGUUUCCUUUUAUCUGAAUAUAUAGUGCAAUAUUGUGACCAAAAAAAACUUUGGGGAGCAUCACCCGUCUCCCGACGUUUUCUUGUUUUAAUAUGUUGAUAGUGAAACUUUGUUAACACUAAAAGUAACAUUUUUAGACUAAUCUUCAGAAAACAUAGAAAAUUUGUCUUUGAUACAGAGGCAGAGUUUAAAACUGGGCCAUGCGAGAUAGAAAUCGAUCAACUUAUCUUAAAAUGAUGGUCAACCAGAUUGCUUUAUAUCACGAAAAGAUUUUAAUAUAUCAUGAAAUUUUUUUUUUCUCUAAAAUUCAGUAUUUUUUUUACAAUUAUUAGUUUAUAUCGAUUAAAAUAUCACAACUGGUAAAUUAAAUUACUUGAAAAAUGUUAAGUUUUCAUUUUUUUAAUAAAUUAGGUAAUAAAAUUAUACUGAGUAUGUCUAACAGGUUAUUUGGAGAGUUCUGUUGCUGUCAUUAUAUUUUGUGAAACUACGAGGAUUGCUUAUAUAAAGUAUAAAAUACAACUCUCAUUGUAUGAGCAUGGAUGGCAGAGUGAUCUAAAUGGGAGAAUUGUUACUCCAGGGGUCAGUGGUUCGAGCCCUGUUGAAGGUUACAUUUUUAUGCAAAUUUUGGGGGGGGGGGGGGGAGCAUAUAGUCGCAGCUGGUGUGUGUGUGUCUGUCCCUGCACAAUUUUGUCCGGGCUAUUUCUCAGCAACUAAUGACCGGAAUUCAAUGAAACUUUAUGGGAAGCUUCACUACCAAGAGAUGUGCAUAUUAUCAGCGGGUUCUGGUCGGAUGAUUUUUCACAGUUAUGGCCCUUUGAAAUUUUCCAUUAACUGUACAUAUAGUGCAAUUCUUGUCCGGGCUAUUUCUCAGCAACUAAUGAGCAGAAUUCAAUGAAUCUUUAUGGGAAGCUUCACUACCAAGAGAUGUGCAUAUUAUCAGCCGGUUCUGGUCGGAUGAUUUUUCACAGUUAUGGCCCUUUGAAAUUUUCCAUUAACUGUACAUAUAGUGCAAUUCUUGUCCGGGCUAUUUCUCAGCAACUAAUGACCGGAAUUCAAUGAAACUUUAUGGGAAGCUUCACUACCAAAAGGUGAUGUGCAUAUUAUCAGCCAGUUCUGGUCGGAUGAUUUUUCACAGAGUUAUGGCCCUUUGAAAUUUUCUAUAAACUGUACAUAUAGUGCAAUUCUUGUCCAGGCUAUUUCUCCCCAACUACUGACUGGAAUUCAAUGAAGCUUUAUGGGAAGCUUAACUACCUUGAGGAGAUGCGCAUGUGAUUUGUGGGUUCUGGUUAGAUGAUUUAUUUAGAGAGUUAUGGCCCUUUGAAAUUUGCUAAACCAUCCAUCGUAUUAUUUUGUCCAAAGUUAUGCCCCUCAAGACGUUCCUUUUAUCUGAAUAUAUAGUGCAAUAUUGUGACAAAAAAAAAACUUUGGGAAGCAUCACCCAUCUCAGACGGUUUCUUGUUUUAUUUUGUAUUGAUUUUUUUACUGGAGUUUUUAGAUCCAAUGUUUAAAUUUAUCAAUAUAAAGCAUUUAAUGACGGUACUUUAGAACUGUUCUUUUUUGCGCGAUAUAUAGCAAUCUGGUUGACCGUCCCUUUAAAGCAAAGACUAGUUAAAAAUUAAGAAGCCACAUCUUCAGGUCAGAACAUUUGUUCUUAUAUCUUGGCAGUUUGAUAAUGGUAUCAGUUUCAUUAAAAACAUUGCCACCAGGGGGUGCUGCAGUUUUAAUGAUAUGGCUAUAGUGAAAGCAAUUUUUACUACAUAAGUUUUAUCGGGUCUGAGGUAAGGGCAAGAACCCACCAUAGGCCUCUUGUAUUUAUACAUUUUAAGAUUAUGUAAACAUGAUAUAAUUAUCUACUACAGAUUGCAUCCUCAAAUAUGUCUUUUUGGUUAUCAUAUUGGAUGUUCGACAGAGCAUGGGAAGUAUCUUAUCCAAGUGUGAAAUAUUAUACAUCAGGGUGCCGUCUUUGGACAGCUCUUCUUAUGCUUCCAGAAAAGCAAAGCAUUAAGUUGCCACUAUGUUCAUCCAACCAAAUUUUAAUAUUAGAGUAAUUAAGUUUGCGUGGGUCUAACACAAAUUUCCUCAAAUUAUAAUUUCUGCCCUACUGGGAGUCUCUUACUGUCCAUCACACUUGCCUAUCUGGGAAAAGAUCUCAGACAGUAUAUAAUGAUGUUCCCAAUUUGAUGAAACUUGAUUUGAAGCACGACUAUAGUUGAACAUGCACAUCAUUGUCAGUUUGUUUCGGCCCAAUGAUUAUUAGAGAGUUAUUUCCCUUUGAUUGUAAAUGCAUCACUUUAUAUUAGCACGAGGUCUAAAAUACUAGUCUUUUUUUAAUGAAGCUCGAUUAUGAAACAUUCAUAGGGUGGACAUGCAAAUCAUUCUUUCAGUUUUUGCUGUCAGAUGAUGACAGGGAGUUUUUACAAUUUCAAUAUAAAUGUCAUUUGUAUUCUCCUGCGGAUUUGAGUCCUGAAUCUUUAGUUUUGAACUGCUGUGUACUGGGUUUAUCUUUCUUAAAUGGUUACAGUUGAGAAAGGUUAAUGCAUAGACGAUAUUUAAAACAAGGGUCGUUUGUAAAACAUGCAUGCCCCCCAUAUGGGCUGUCAGUUGUAGUGGAAGCCAUUGUGUGAAUACGUUUUUUUGUCACUGUGACCUUGACCUUUGACCUAGUGACCUGAAAAUCAAUAGGGGUGAUCUGGCAGUCAUGAUAAAUUGAUGCAAUUUAGCUGGAUGGGAGAGUCUACUAGGCAUAAAUGGGUUAAAGUGUAAAGAAAGAAAAAUACAAUGAUGUUUGAUCUUUGACCUAGAAGGAUGACAUUGACCUUGACUUUUCACCUCUCAAAAUGUGCAGCUCGGUGAGAUACACAUGCAUGCCAAAUAUGAAGUUGCUAUCUUCAAUAUUUCAAAAGUUAUCAAAUUUUAACCAAGGACCUUUAACUAAGGUUAAAGUUUUUGGACACACACAUACAAUGAAUUAAUGAGUCACUGUGGCCUUAACCUUUGACCUAGUGACCUGAAAAUCAAUAGGGUUCAUCUGCCAGUCAUGAUCAAUGUUCCUAUGAAGUUUCAUGAUCCUAGGGGUAAGCAUGCUUGAGUUAUCAUCCGGAUACCAUUUUACUGUUUCGAGUCACUGUGACCUUGACCUUUGGCCUAGUUACCUGAAAAUCAAUAGGGGUCAUCUGCCAGUCAUGAUCAAUCUACCUAUGAAGUUUCAUGAUUCUAGGCGUAAGCAUUCUUGAGUUAUCAUCCGGAAACCAUUUUACUAUUUCGAGUCACUGUGACCUUGACCUUUGACCUAGUGACCUGAAAAUCAAUAGGGGUCAUCUGCCAGUCAUGAUCAAUGUACCUAUGAAGUUUCAUGAUCCUAGAUCUAAACAUUUUUGAGUUAUCAUCCGGAAACCAUUUUACUAUUUCGAGUCACUAUGACUUGACCUUUGACCUAGUGACCUGAAAAUCAAUAGGGGUCAUCUGCCAGUCAUGAUCAAUGUACCUAUGAAGUUUCAUGAUUCUAGGCGUAAGCAAUCUUGAGUUAUCAUCCGUAAACCAUUUUACUAUUUCGAGUCACUGUGACCUUGACCUAGUGACCUGAAACUCAAUAGGGGUCAUUUGCCAGUCAUGAUCAAUGUUCCUAUGAAGUUUCAUGAUCCUAGGUCUUAAAAUUCUUGAGUUAUCAUCUGGAAACCAUUUUACUAUUUCGAGUAACUAUGACCUUGACCUUUGAUCUAGUGACCUGAAAAUCAAUAGGGGUCAUCUGUCAGUCAUGAUCAAUGUACCUAUGAAGUUUCAUGAUUCUAGGCCUAAGCGUUCUUGAGUUAUCAUCCGGAAACCAUAUGGUGGACGGAUGGACAUGUGCACAAUAUAUCCCCUCUUCUUCGAAGGGGGGCAUAAAAAGGAUCUUGGACUGUGAUAAUUUUUUUAUAAAUAAUUGCCAUUUCACCAAGAUCUUAUAUAUAUUUUGAUGAAGCUUUUUUUUUAGCUCCUCUUUGAUAACUUGGUGCAUAACUCGAGCUUUCACAGUUGCAUGACCUUAAUGUGUAGAUGAUUGUAAAGAAAAGAAUUUUGACUGAAAGGUUAAGAAUUUUGGCGAUGUUUUUUUUCAAUAUUGAAUACCAAAUUUUAGUGUUGCCAAAAUCUCUUCAACUACUGAGUGUAUCUUGUUCAAGCAUUCCCAUGAGAAUGGCCUUAACAUGUAGAUGUGAAUAUUUAAAUUAAUAAGGGAAGCUUGGCUGCAACAACUAUUGGCCCUUACCUUGUUUUCCUCUAUACAAUAUAGUUACAAAAGUGUGUGUGUGUUCAACUGACUAACUGCUUGGCAGAAAUUGCUCAACCUUUCACAGCUGCAUGUGUAAAUGAAUUUUUGGAAGGAAUUUUAUCUGCAAUAACGUUUGGCCUUUUUCUUGUGUAUAACAUUCCUAUGUCAGAUCACUGGAACUAAUGGUUAUAAUUUGUUUUAACUUCAUAUGCAGUUCAACAUAUGCAUAUUGUCAUGCUGUUUUGCUUAGUUGAAUUUUCAGUUAUAAUUUGUUUCCACAAAAUUCACCCGUACACAGCAACAAGAAGUUGAUUUAUUCACAAGAUGUGUUUACAUCUCCACUGUGAUAGUUAAAAGGUUACACAUUAGUGAUCUUACCAAAUGGCAAUUUUCCUGUCAUGAUUAUGGUACUGAACAUUCCUCAACAACAACCGAUUUCAAUUAACAAAGUAUGUGCAUGAUUGAGUUACUUCUAUGUUUCCCUCAUUUCUAUCUUCCAUUUCUAGGACUAUAAGAAGUAAACCAAGAGUUUGUUAGAAGAGGAUCCAGGACAUAAAAACAUACAGAAAAUAUUAAGCAAAAACACAUUCUACAGCCAAAUAUUGUGA